UGUGGGUGGUGAAGCUCUGGUGGAUGAUGAAUGCGGCAAUCAAUCUUCAGUUUGCGGGAGCAUUCAUUACGAUUGAUGUGGGCCACCCACCGUCUGUGAUUACAUGGAAGUGUGCGUUCCUUUUUCCUCCAACCUUUUUCUAUAGCUCCCCUAUUCUCUCCAGGUUAUCUUCAGCUCCAUCCCCAUGAUUCCUUCAUGUCAGAUCUCGCUGGAUCCUGCUACUUGCCAUAAAAUACUAGGGCCGAAGGAGGGCGCAGCUUGUGUUCCUAGGCGUGCGGCGCAACUGUCCAAGAUAGUAGUUGUGCUGCUGCACCGGGCACUUGAGGAUCUGAGAUGGUCAUGGGCGGCGGAUCCAAAGGAUUUGUUUUCCUGGAGCACCUCGUCCUCAUAUUGCUCUAUCAACACCUCUCAAAAAACCUCCAACGACAGAUUGUUGGACAUUACGUGAGAUGACAAGAAAUCUCAAAUGAAGAUAAGAAUUCAGCAAAGCCAGUGAGUCUACUCUGUGCAAUAUUUAGUAGCCCUGUAAUUUAUAUGUACUGAAGGUGUCACCAAAGAAAGGGAGACCAAACUUUGAUCAUGUUGCUGUCAGAUGGUGUUUCCAGACCAAUUCAGCAAUGUAAGUUUCAGAGACUGUGAUUGUUCUGUGGAGCUCAAAACAACUAUUUCAAUUUUAGUUUGUUGAUUUUGAUGUAA